GAACAGUCUCUUCAGCAAUAUCGUCGCACCCAUGGAAGAAUAGCAGCGACUGCUGGCAGAAUUUAGUAAUUCUGAUUUGAGCAGCAUAUCUGAUGAUGAUGAUGACUGGCCUUCAUCUCCACUUCGGCGCAGAGAACUCUUUCAUGAACUAUGUGCCAACACUGAGAGUUCAGCAUCUGAGUCUGAUGAAGAGAACAACAGAGAUGGAAAUGUUACCACCAGGUCCCCUGAAGUUACAAGUAGCACUGCAGCUGCCCAGACUGGACCCAGCAGAAAUCUCAAUACUAAUGGAUGUCAUCAUUUCAGGAGAAAUAUAAACUUCAAUCACAGAUUUA